UACGUAGGGUGCGAGCGUUAAUCGGAAUUACUGGGCGUAAAGCGUGCGCAGGCGGUUUUGUAAGUCAGAUGUGAAAUCCCCGGGCUUAACCUGGGAAUGGCAUUUGGGACUGCAAGGCUGGAGUUUGGCAGAGGAGACUGGAAUUCCUGGUGUAGCAGUGAAAUGCGUAGAGAUGUGGAGGAACACCGAUGGCGAAGGCAGCCCCCUGGGUCAAAACUGACGCUCAUGCACGAAAGCGUGGGGAGCAAACAGG
rnacentral:rRNA from 1 species